rnacentral:misc_RNA from 1 species
GAACAAAUCAGAUCAUCCUGCAACAUUGCAAGUGUACUUCUUUUACAGCCAAACCUCACUUUUCUCAUCCCUGACCCCAUUGUUUACGUUUCUUUGAUCAAUUGUUAUUUUUCUUUUUCAAGCUGCAAGAUUUUGAAAACUGUGAGUUGUCAAAACCAUCAUCCCAACUGCAAAUUGAUUUUCUUGAACUUGUUUAGUAAUAUUCUUUUUAUGUUCACGGAUGGAAAAUAUAAUUGGUUUCAAACCUGUAAAUUGUGGGUUUAUUUAAGAUGUGGUUAAAACUGAUGCGCAUGUGUGCAUGCAAAUAAAGAGCAAUAAAAAUGUAAACAUUUUGAGGGGUUUAGUGGUGGUUCAAAAGCUUGUCCUUUUAAUGGGACACUAUUUUGCAGCAUGUGUAUGUAUUUACUUUCCAGUGUGUCCUUGUAUGGUACACUUAUUAAUUGCAGUCACUAACAUUUUCUUAUAAUAGGUGCAUACUUUUGUUUAUGUGCUUACAUAGUAGCCAAAUAUUGUCUAGGAUGAUGACCAACAACUUCUGACCCUCUUAUUUUUAUGUUAAGCGUGUAGAGCUUUCGUCAUAUUCACUUGAAGUCUUACUUCAGCAGUUGUAAUUUACGAGCUGUUAAUUUUGUCUUUGUCAUUUGGACAACUGACUUCAAACUUUUAUUUUCCAGUACGAGCUCUAUGAUCUUAUACUUCAAACAAACAAGUUAUGCAUAAAUCUUUGCAAACCUGGUGCUAGCAUUCGGCAAAUACACAACUACUCGGUUGAAAUGUUGCGUAAGGGGCUUAAGGAGAUUGGAAUUUUGAGAGACAGUGGAAGCAGUUCCUAUCAUCUAUUGAAUCCAACUUCUAUAGGUCACUAUCUAGGAAUGGAUGUCCAUGAUAGUUUUGCUGUGAGCUGUGAUCGUCUUUUGAAGCCAG